AAAAAAAAAAAAAAAAAAACUGAUAAGAUAAAAAUGAAAUUUGGUUUAAAAUCGAUUUGAAAAAACUACGUCACUCACCCACCCAGAAAAGGGGAAAAGAAGAGAGUAAAAACAAAGAACCAAAAACCUCAAUAACAGCCCUUACAAGGGCUCUUAAAAUGAGCAGAAGCCCUGGCAUGCCAUCGGUAGCUAAUUUGUAGGCUGUCGCCAUGCUUCCCAACUAAGGGUGCCCUAAUAAAUUAAAAUCGACCUGGCAACAUUUGACAGUUACGCCCACAGGAGUCCAUCUAAGCCAAUUUCCAGGUUUGAAACCGGGCUGUCACCAAGAGGAUCGUGUUCUAUUACUUGCUUAUCUGAUGGUGAGUCGGCAUAUGGCUCCGAUAGAUCAGGAGAUCGUUCAGAUGGAAUCCCAUAAUCUCUGAGUAUGUAGGAUGCAGAGGCACUAGCUGCUUCCCUCUCCAUCACAGCAAUAUAGUUGUCUUCAAACUCAAACACUAAAUAUCUGUCCUUGCAUGAAUCAACGAGGUAGGCUAGGUGAUGAAUGUUUUUUAUUCGAGUACCGUUGAACUUCAAAACCUGCUGAUUGCUCAUAUCCUCAUAUCCAAUGUUGACUUCAUUUGCUAGGACCUGUGAUAGGAUAACAAUUUGUUCUCCUUUGAACUUUGCCAAAGAGUACUGUGCUUUUGCUAGUAGUUUCAACUGAGCAUUCAAAUUCAAAAUCAAAUUACCUUUUAAAUAAAAACAAAAACCAAACAAUCUGUAUUUUGAUUAGAUAUGUCCCCCAUUUUUUGCUACUUACCCCUAUAGAGUCUUCACACUCCUCAUCUAUCAGUGGUUCUGACAGAGGGGUAAACACCAAACCAGCAAUUAUUAUAUAAGAAGGCUGACCUCCAUGAACAUGAUAGGGAACCUUGAAGCAAGGACAUAGGAAAUGAAAUUAGUAAGCCUCAAAACAAAAAAAUUAAUGAAAAUGAUGGAAUAAACUAAAAUAUCAUGUAAAAAGCCAAGUUUCUAAUAGCAUUACCAAAUGGACUCUAGGAUUCAAAACCACUUUAACCUUCAUGAACGAACCUGCUCUGAUGAUGCCAAGUUCUGCCACAUCACCAGCAAACUUUUGACUAAUAAGGUAACGAAAUGCAAUGCGCUCAUUUGAUCGGAAUGGCACAGUUCCUUCACACCCAACAUGAACAUCAUCAAAGCUUACAAUCACGUCCCCCUGAAAAUAACAGCAGCAUCAAAUUUCAGAAUAAAAGAAGGGCGGAAAAAUAAAAUAAUGCUGUUUAAUUGGUUUCCCAGCGUAGUCACAUCACACAAUGAUAAUACAAGAGACACGCCUGCAGUAGCCAAUGAGAAAAAAAUGAAAGGGGUUAUAAAUUCAUACCAACAUGGACUAGAUCUAAAUUAAAUUGGCCUAAUUGGAAUAGUUUCUAAUAGCGCUCAGCUUGAUUCAGAUCGUUUUACAAGUAACACAUCAUACUGCUAUAGACUUUUCUUUUAUGACUGCCUUUUCAGUACUUUCUCAUUCACAAAUUUUUGUAUUCAUUAAAGACAAGUUAGAUUGAUAAUCUUGAGGAAAACUAUCAUGACAAUUCACGGUCCCUUUCUGGGUGACUUUAACAAGACCAGAAUACAUGCAACUCCAGCAAAGCAACCUUUUGAAACUAUAUUGGCCAGUUUACCUCCUUUAAGACAUUAUUUGCAUCAGAGGUUGGCUCAACUCGCCGUACCAGCACACCCUCAUUAGACUGUACUUUUAAGCACGCUCGCAAUGCUGGAUUCUCCAACUUUUGCAGCAGUACACCAAGGCAGGGGAAGCCGGUGUAUUUCCCAUUCCUCUCAUAGUCAUCCAGAAAGUGAGACACAACUGUUGUUGGAAUCACAUAUCCAAUAUUCUCAGCUUCUUCAGAUCUGUAAACCUAAAAGAAGUGUCUCACAAAACAUAAUAAGGAAAGGGAAAUUACAAGUAAAAGAACAACAUAUUUUGCAAACAAUAGCAACAGAUGAGCUUCCAGUUGAUUAGACUAUGAAGACUUUUACUAAUAAGCAUGAUGCAUGCCAGAGAUCGCACCUGAAAUGCCACUCCAAUGCACUCCCCAUGGUCAUUGAAUGCAGGACCACCACUAUUACCUAAAAUCUAGCAGGUAUAAGCAGUGGCUAUCACAAGAAAUAAAAAAGAGAGAGAGAAAGAGAACACGGGACAGGGGAAGAGCUGUCAUUGUGAUGAAUCAAAAUAGUAAUUUCCAACAUACAAAUGCAUAAACUAAGCAAUUUUAACGCAAAGAUUAGAAAAACAGAAUAUCUACAAACCAGGAUUUAUUGCAGCAUCAAUUUGAAUACCCAACAAGUCAGAUGAUCCAUGAGCAUAUGAUGUAACCUCUAUGCGUGAUACAACUCCCUUUGUCACUGAAAUGGUGUCUCCUCCGAGGGGAUAUCCCACAACAGUCACUGCAUCCUGAAGACGGGGCAAACGUCCUAAAUGUAGUGGUUCAGAUCCUUCCCAAAAUUCCUCAUUUUCUACUGAAAGUAAAGCUAUAUCACAAUCAACACCUCUGGCUAACACCUUAGCCACAUAUUUGGUAUCAUCUCCUCUUCUCUUCACUUUCACUUGUGUGUCAUAUUCAACACAAUGUGCAUUUGUCAAAAGUUUUCCAUUCCCAAUCAUAAAAGCACUCCCAGUGCUUGUGUAUUGUCUUUGUUUUUGCCAGGGAAGAGAAUAAUCAGGUGCAGUAUGAGUGCAGUAAACCUUAACAACCGCAUUUAGAAAAGCCGCCUCCUGAAGAUUCCCUGCUUCAGCCUGAUGCUCCUUCUUGUCUUUCCUUUGCAUUCCAAACGACUUAUAAGCCAUGGACUGAGCUUUCCCCCUCUCUCCUCCGUCGCCACAUGAAUAGUAUCUCUCAUCUUUUGAUUUCCCCGGCGACUUAUAAUGCGACGCGCCUUCUUUAUCUCUGUUGGCCUUAUCAAUUGACGACGAGGAACCUCGCUUCGAUGGCCGUCGUUUGUGAUUGAUAGCAUUAGAAGCGACGGAGCCAAUUGUUCGAUGCGACGAGAGGAGACGGUGUUGGGGAGAAGAGUAGCAGCAGAAUUUAACGCUGGAGGUGAGCACAGAGAAGCAGCAGGUAGAGGCAGCUAUGGCCAUACUGCAACAGCUAGUAGAGGAAAUGGAACAGUUAAAUUGAGCUGUGAUGCUCCAGUUUUCGCAGCUUCCUUAUCCCCUGGCUCUGCUUCUUUAAUCUCUACUAACUAAAAUUGGAUUGGAUUAGGUUUGCAGGUUUUGGCGCCCAGGUGUUUU
rnacentral:misc_RNA from 1 species